AUUGAACGCUGGCGGCAUGCCUUACACAUGCAAGUCGAACGGCAGCACGGGAGCAAUCCUGGUGGCGAGUGGCGAACGGGUGAGUAAUAUAUCGGAACGUGCCCAGUCGUGGGGAUAACGUAGCGAAAGCUACGCUAAUACCGCAUACGAUCUAUGGAUGAAAGCGGGGGAUCGCAAGACCUCGCGCGAUUGGAGCGGCCGAUAUCAGAUUAGGUAGUUGGUGAGGUAAAGGCUCACCAAGCCGACGAUCUGUAGCUGGUCUGAGAGGACGACCAGCCACACUGGGACUGAGACACGGCCCAGACUCCUACGGGAGGCAGCAGUGGGGAAUUUUGGACAAUGGCGCAAGCCUGAUCCAGCAAUGCCGCGUGCAGGAUG
rnacentral:rRNA from 1 species